CUCUUCACCUUCAUCACAAGUCUCCAUACCCUAAUAUCAUAUCCCGACCUUCAAUUCAUUUAAUUCACAGGAAAACCAUACGACUCGUCAUCAAUAACACCUUAGUUCAUACGAUUGAAGCGUCUCAAACCACCGUCACUCCUUUCCGGUUCUGUCUCCACCGCAAUUUGUUCCGCCAUAACCGCGUUUUGAAUAGUCGCCACCGGGGCUGUGAUACACAUCCACCGUUGCCUGGUCUUUGCUUCUGCUCGUCUCGAAAACAACCGCAGUCAUCAUGGCGGCUACCAAUUGUCUAACCCAAUCCCAACAGUCACGUCUUCUCAGUCAUCACAAAACCACACCACCAUACACACUCUCCAUUUUGUAUCUAUGAUUCCCGUUUUGGCUCCUGAACCAUACAUCUAUGAUUCUCGAUUUGCCUACCGGUUGUUUAUCUGAACCCAGUUUGAUCCGAAUCAACCAUUUUGCCAGACUUGUCCAUAGUUUUUCUAACUAGUUGGUAGUUUAGGUGCCAUUCGUUUGUCGCUUAAACCUGAUCAUGUAUUUUAGUAAUGAAGGAGAAAUUAUAUUUUUAGUCGUGAAAAAUUGUAUUUUAGUCAUAAAGGAAAAAUCCCCUGAUGUUUCUAAUUUUUCCCUUUCAGGUAAUGAAUUUGAUAGGUGAUGUGAAAGGUAAAGUAGCAGUUAUAGUGGAUGACAUGAUCAAUAUUGUUGCGCAGGUACAAAAUUUCCCUUCAAAAACAAGUAUGACUGGAAAUGGACCCUACUUGAUAUUCAAGGUCUAGGCUAAAAAUAAAUUAUGAAGAAGGACGUUGGUCGUUGAUGUAUAUAUGCCAAGGCCACAAUCAAAGGUGGGGUUGAAAUUAUGCAAGAAGGAUGAUAUCGUUCCUAAAAAUGUUCUGCAUUGAUGUACUAAAUGUGGUCAAAUAAAACU